GACGAACGCUGGCGGCGUGCUUAACACAUGCAAGUCGAACGGAAAGGCCCUGCUUUCGUGGGGUGCUCGAGUGGCGAACGGGUGAGUAACAUGUGAGUAACCUGCCCUUGACUUUGGGAUAACUUCAGGAAACUGGGGCUACUACCGGAUAGGAGCUCCUGCUGCAUGGUGGGGGUUGGAAAGUUUCGGCGGUUGGGGAUGGACUGGCGGCUUAUCAGCUUGUUGGUGGGGUAGUGGCCUACCAAGGCUUUGACGGGUAGCCGGCCUGAGAGGGUGACCGGCCGCAUUAGGACUGAGGUACGGACCAGACUCCUACGGGAGGCAGCAGUGGGGAAUAUUGCACAAUGGGCGGGAGCCUGUUGCAGCAACGCCGCGUGCGGGAUGACGGCCUUCGGGUUGUAAACCGCUUUCGCCUGUGACGAAGCGUGAGUGACGGUAAUAGGUAAAGAAGCACCGGCUAACUACGUG
rnacentral:rRNA from 1 species